rnacentral:rRNA from 1 species
AGUGGCGAACGGGUGAGUAACACGUGAGUAACCUGCCCUUGACUCUGGGAUAAGCCUGGGAAACUGGGUCUAAUACCGGAUAUGACUCCUCAUCGCAUGGUGGGGGGUGGAAAGCUUUUGUGGUUUUGGAUGGACUCGCGGCCUAUCAGCUUGUUGGUGGGGUAAUGGCCUACCAAGGCGACGACGGGUAGCCGGCCUGAGAGGGUGACCGGCCACACUGGGACUGAGACACGGCCCAGACUCCUACGGGAGGCAGCAGUGGGGAAUAUUGCACAAUGGGCGCAAGCCUGAUGCAGCGACGCCGCGUGAGGGAUGACGGCCUUCGGGUUGUAAACCUCUUUCAGUAGGGAAGAAGCCUUUCGGGGUGACGGUACUUGCAGAAGAAGCGCCGGCUAACU